UAUUGGUCAUUUUCUAUGAGUGCUACUGCACCGAAGACGGACUUUGUUUAGCAGGAUAGUCAUAAAUGCAUAUUUAUUUUAUGAGUAAAGCUACGUGCAAGCACAAUGGCAGAUGACGUUCUGUUUGAAUUCCUCCACAUGGAGAUUGUGGCUCACAUUUACAAGGAGCAGGCGACCCGAGAGGAUAUUGAUAAGGAAAGAGUGACAUGUGUAUCUACUCUAGAGGCAAUGGGCUUCAGAGUUGGACAAGGACUGAUUGAAAGGUUUACAAAAGACUGCCCUAGUUUCAAAGAUGACUUGGACAUCAUGAAGUUCGUCUGCAAAGACUUCUGGAGCACUAUCUUCAAAAAACAAAUUGACAACUUGAGGACGAAUCAUCAGGGCACUUACGUCCUACAGGAUAAUAAAUUUCCACUACUGACUCAGUUUUCCACUGGAAAGCAAUAUCUUGAGGAGGCCCCUAAAUACUUAGCCUUUUCUUGUGGGAUGAUUCGGGGAGCUCUAUCCAACCUGGGCUUGGAGAGUGUCGUGACUGCAGAGGUGUCUUUAAUGCCAUCAUGUAAGUCUUUGCUAACCUAGUAUUUCUCUCUCUUUUAAAGGUGCACUAAGUAAGAUUUUAGCUGGCUCUUACUCGUCCCAUCGGUCGCUGUAGUACUUGUGGUUUUGGACCCUGUACUGACAUCUGUCAUCCUGGAUACUGGAAGUUUGUUUAGUAAGUGCUGCCGCUUUAUACCGAAUAUGUUUGUUUAUCUUCUGUUUUGUUACUUUUAGUCUGUGUUUUUAUCCAUCUCAGUGGUGGCUCAGCGGUUAAGGCUCUGGGUUACUGAUCAGAAGGUUGGGGGUUCAAGCCCCAGCACUGCCAAGAUGCCACUGUUGGCCCCUUGAGUAAGGCCCUUGACCCUAUCUGCUCCAGGGGUGCCGUAUCAUGGCUGACCCUGUACUCUGACUCCAGCUUAGCUGGGAUAUCUUGCGAGUUCUCUCACUGGCCAUUUGGUCUCGCACCGUUUAUCAGUGAUCUGUGCCGUGAGAGCUGCAGGUAGUUGCGGUUUGUUUCAUGACUCCAUCAGGGACCUCUUGUUUGGACAGUUUAUCUUUCCUCUUGCACUCAUUCUGUUCGGGCAAUCUGGUGGAUCACACUCCUGUUUAUCAACCCCAUACCAUCACUCUGGACUAUACUGUUGACUUGGGGUCUGUUGUUGUUUGUAGUAAGUAUAUUGUGUUUGUUGUUGUAAUGUUUAGUUUGCUUGUUUUGUUUACAUGGAUUUUUAUGGCUGAAAUCGCUAUAUAAAGUAAACAUGUUAUUAUUAUUGUCAUUAUAAGUGGUAAUAACUCGGUCAAUUGCAUGACUUAAGUUGUCAAGUGCUGUCAACAUGGCAAUGCCCAUGAGGGGGCGACCUGCUCCAUUUAAAAUUAGACAGCUUUUAUUGGGUUACUGAUAUGACUAAAGUCUUCAUCUCAUGUGAGUGUACAUAAUUUAACAUAUUUCUAAAAACUGCUAUUCAUGUCUAUAUGUGUAAAACUUUUUUAAUAAUCAAAAACUUAGUGCACCUUUAACCCUUAAUUCUUUGGCUAUAUAACUGUAUAUUCAGAAUAUGUGAAUGGGAGAGUUUAUUUACUAUUCAACCGUAUGUGAAUUAACAAUGUUAUUGGGACUAUAUCAGUCCUCACUGCCUUUGUAAAAAAAAAUUUUUCCUUUUCUUUUAGGUAAAUUCCAAGUUGUAGUUCAAAAAAUCUUGGAUUGACUAAAUGAGCUGUGAACGGCAAUGUUUCAUCAAAUAAAAACUUUAUUAAUGUGAAUUACAUGGACCUAUAUUCUAAAUGUUUACACCAGAAUGGCAGUUUACAACGUUAUUUUGAUAAAAAAUGAUGCUUUAUUUCAAUGAGACAGGUCUCAUGCAUUUCACAUUUUUUAUUUAUACAUCUACCCCUUAUACAUGACCAUAAGACUGUUUUAUAACAUUUGAAAGGAUCUUCCUUGACAUGACUUAUUACAAACAAAAUUAUUGUAAUUGAUAAUGACAGGAGCAUAUUUAAUUUUUGGUAAAUGUUAAUAACAAGUCACUAAAAACAUAUUUUGGAAGUUAUUUUUUAUACACAUUUGGUCAAGAUAAGACACUGAGAAAAAUAGUAGAUACAUGUUUUUUCCUACUAUUUAAUUUAUUUCUGUAUGUUUGUGGCACUCAAACAUUUAAUUGUCUAAAACAUAAAGGAAAAUACUUUAUUAAUUUUUAAGGAUAACCCUUUCUAAAUGAAGUUUUGCUGAACAUACACUUUACAAGCCAUAAUUUAGUAAGGAUACACUUUGUGUUGAGAAAUUAAUUUAUUUGUUUUUGUCAGGGUAUUUUAGGUGAAUUUGGACAUGUCUUACUGGUAAAGUUUUUAGGGAAUAAAACAGAUUCUUUUUUUACACCAGAAGAGGGCAACCUUUGUUAGUCUAAUUGUAUGCCUCUGGAGUGAAAGACUUGUAUAUACUUGAACUGGUUGCAAACUUCUUGCACUUAAGUUAGUCUGCAAACUCUUUACUGCUGGUACCUCAGUUAAUCAAAGCUGUAUUUGUUGUUGGUACAAUUUUGAAAUGUAGAUGGGUCGUCAUUGGACUGUUUGUUUCCUGUACCAAGCUUGUUUAUUGUUUGUCUGCACAUUUCUUUAUAAAUUUAUAAAUAUUCAAAUAAAUAAAAGAUUUCAGAUGAAAAUGU